ensembl:snRNA U5 U5 spliceosomal RNA
AUACUCAUGUUUCUCUUCAAAUUGAAUCUUUUGCUUUUUACUAAAGAUCCUUGUUGGGGGGGAGAAGCAUGAGUGUUACUUCAAUUGUUUGAGGCCUUGUAAGAUAAACAAGACU